rnacentral:tRNA from 1 species
GCGGCAGUAGCUCAGUGGUAGCGCCCUGCUUCGCAUGCGGAGAGACCUGGGUUCGAUUCCCGGCUGCUUCC